GACGAACGCUGGCGGCGUGCUUAACACAUGCAAGUCGAACGGAAAGGCCCUGCUUGCAGGGUACUCGAGUGGCGAACGGGUGAGUAACACGUGGGUGAUCUGCCCUGCACUUCGGGAUAAGCCUUGGAAACUGGGUCUAAUACCGGAUAGGAGACAUUUUUAGUGUGUUGGUUGGAAAGUUUUUUCGGUGUAGGAUGAGCUCGCGGCCUAUCAGCUUGUUGGUGGGGUAAUGGCCUACCAAGGCGGCGACGGGUAGCCGGCCUGAGAGGGUGGACGGCCACAUUGGGACUGAGAUACGGCCCAGACUCCUACGGGAGGCAGCAGUGGGGAAUAUUGCACAAUGGGCGCAAGCCUGAUGCAGCGACGCCGCGUGGGGGAUGACGGCCUUCGGGUUGUAAACUCCUUUCGCUAGGGACGAAGCUUUUUGUGACGGUACCUAGAUAAGAAGCACCGGCUAACUACGUG
rnacentral:rRNA from 1 species